rnacentral:rRNA from 1 species
UUUUAUGAGAGUUUGAUCCUGGCUCAGGACGAACGCUGGCGGCGUGCCUAAUACAUGCAAGUCGAACGCUUCUUUUUCCACCGGAGCUUGCUCCACCGGAAAAAGAGGAGUGGCGAACGGGUGAGUAACACGUGGGUAACCUGCCCAUCAGAAGGGGAUAACACUUGGAAACAGGUGCUAAUACCGUAUAACAAUCAAAACCGCAUGGUUUUGAUUUGAAAGGCGCUUUCGGGUGUCGCUGAUGGAUGGACCCGCGGUGCAUUAGCUAGUUGGUGAGGUAACGGCUCACCAAGGCCACGAUGCAUAGCCGACCUGAGAGGGUGAUCGGCCACAUUGGGACUGAGACACGGCCCAAACUCCUACGGGAGGCAGCAGUAGGGAAUCUUCGGCAACGGACGAAAAUAUGACCGAGCAACGCCGCGCGAGUUAAGAAGGUCUUCGGACUGUAACACGCUGUUGUUAGAGAAGAACAAGGAUGAGAGGAACUGUUCAUCCCUUG